CAACCUUAGUAUAUUUCAAAACAUUCCUUCCCUACAAUUUUGAGAACUAUCCUGUAUAUGUUGUUCUUUUAAAAUUUGAACACACAUCUCUUGUGCAAUGGAAUGAAUGGAAGCUUAAAUGUUAACUUAAGAUACAAUACCUUUUUGGCAACAGUUACAAGAGAUGAAAGUGAUGCUGUAUUGAUCAGGAGAGCGUAGCUAUCCUAUUUAAACCAUGAGCAGGACAAGCUAUAUGUUUCAUCAAGGGAAAUAUUUUCUGGAGGUGUGGUAGAUUUCAUACAAUAUGGACCACCAUCUGUAAUGAACACCUUCAGUCU
rnacentral:lncRNA from 1 species